UACGGAGGGGACUAGCGUUGUUCGGAAUUACUGGGCGUAAAGCGCACGUAGGCGGCUUUGUAAGUUAGAGGUGAAAGCCCGGGGCUCAACCCCGGAAUUGCCUUUAAGACUGCAUCGCUAGAAUUGUGGAGAGGUAAGUGGAAUUCCGAGUGUAGAGGUGAAAUGCGCAGAUAUCAGGAGGAACACCAAUUGCGAAGGCAGCUCGCUGGGACGUAACUGACGCUGAGACGCGAAAGCGUGGGGAGCAAACAGG
rnacentral:rRNA from 1 species